CCUACGGGUGGCAGCAGUGGGGAAUAUUGCACAAUGGGGGAAACCCUGAACCAGCCAAGUCGCGUGAGGGAUGACGGUCCUAUGGAUUGUAAACCUCUUUUGUCGGGGAGCAAGGCCCGCCACGUGUGGCGGGAAGGAGAGUACCCGAAGAAAAAGCAUCGGCUAACUCCGUGCCAGCAGCCGCGGUAAUACGGAGGAUGCGAGCGUUAUCCGGAUUUAUUGGGUUUAAAGGGUGCGUAGGCGGAAGGUUAAGUCAGCGGUAAAAUGUCGGUGCUCAACACCGGCCUGCCGUUGAAACUGGUCAUCUUGAGUGAGCGAGAAGUAUGCGGAAGGCGUGGUGUAGCGGUGAAAUGCAUAGAUAUCACGAAGAACUCCGAUUGCGAAGGCAGCAUACCGGCGCUCAACUGACGCUGAGGCACGAAAGCGUGGGGAUCGAACAGGAUUAGAUACCCCUGUAGUC
rnacentral:rRNA from 1 species